rnacentral:lncRNA from 1 species
AAAAAAUUUGUAAAUGCAAUUUUUAAUACUCUGUAUACAUUAAUUUCUAACAAAACACAUACACUAAAUCACAUAGAUAACAAAAUACACAACAAGCUCAAGAACUUUUUCAUUCAAAAUCUCAAUAUUAUCAUAUUUGAUUACAUUGUACUUCAAAAACAUUCUAAAAACAUCCAUCUCAAAUUUCUAAGUACACAAU